AUUGAACGCUGGCGGCAGGCCUAACACAUGCAAGUCGAGCGGUAACAUGGGAGCUUGCUCCUGAUGACAAGCGGCGGACGGGUGAGUAAAGCCUAGGAAUCUGCCUAUUAGUGGGGGACAACGCGGGGAAACUCGCGCUAAUACCGCAUACGCCCUACGGGGGAAAGUGCUUUAUGUAUCGCUAAUAGAUGAGCCUAGGUCGGAUUAGCUAGUUGGUAGGGUAAAGGCCUACCAAGGCGACGAUCCCGUAGCUGGUCUGAGAGGAUGAUCAGCCACACUGGGACUGAGACACGGGCCCAGACUCCCUAGGGGAGGCAGCAGGUGGGGGAAUAUUGGGGACAAGUGGGGGGAAACCCUGAUCCAGCCAU
rnacentral:rRNA from 1 species